UACGUAGGGUGCAAGCGUUGUUCGGAAUUACUGGGCAUAAAGCGCGCGUAGGCGGCUUUGUAAGUUAGAGGUGAAAGCCCGGAGCUCAACUCCGGAACUGCCUUUAAAACUGCAUCGCUUGAAUCCAGGAGAGGUGAGUGGAAUUCCGAGUGUAGAGGUGAAAUUCGUAGAUAUUCGGAAGAACACCAGUGGCGAAGGCGGCUCACUGGACUGGUAUUGACGCUGAGGUGCGAAAGCGUGGGGAGCAAACAGG
rnacentral:rRNA from 1 species